rnacentral:rRNA from 1 species
AGGAUUCCCCUAGUAACGGCGAGCGAACCGGGAACAGCCCAGCUUGAGAAUCGGGCGGCCUUGCUGUCCGAAUUGUAGUCUGGAGAGGCGUCCUCAGCGACGGACCGAGCCCAAGUCCCCUGGAAAGGGGCGCCGGAGAGGGUGAGAGCCCCGUCGUGGCUGGACCCUGCCGCACCACGAGGCGCUGUCUGCGAGUCGGGUUGUUUGGGAAUGCAGCCCAAAUCGGGCGGUAGACUCCGUCCAAGGCUAAAUACAGGCGAGAGACCGAUAGCGAACAAG